AGGCACGGGGGUGGGACGCUCCAGCGCGGCGGGAGGUACAGGUGGGAACAGAGGCGCGCCGGCUGGGCUUGGGUGAAGGGGUGAAGCCUCGCGGCCCUGCUAGAUCCCAGCUUCCAGGGCUGGGCCUGAGGCCGGGGCCCAGGUCAGAGCUUGUGCGGUGGGCUCCCGGCCCUGGCUCCGCAGCUCUCAGACGUACAGUGCCGAAGAGGUGGAGUUCACCUUUGCCGUAGACGACGACGGCGAGACCAUCAACAAGAUCGACAUCGACACAGCGGCCUAUACUGAGAACGGCGAGUGGGCCAUCGACUUUUGCCCGGGAGUGAUCCGCCGCCACCACGGUGGCACCACCGACGGCCCAAGGGAGACUGACGUCAUCUACUCGCUCAUCAUCCGCCGGAAGCCGCUCUUCUACAUCAUUAACAUCAUCGUGCCCUGUGUACUCAUCUCGGGACUGGUGCUGCUCGCCUACUUCCUGCCAGCGCAGGCCGGCGGCCAGAAAUGCACGGUCUCCAUCAACGUCCUGCUCGCCCAGACAGUCUUCUUGUUCCUCAUUGCCCAGAAAAUCCCAGAGACAUCUCUGAGCGUGCCGCUCCUGGGCAGGUUCCUUAUUUUCGUCAUGGUGGUCGCCACGCUCAUUGUCAUGAAUUGUGUCAUCGUCCUCAACGUGUCCCUGCGGACGCCCACCACCCAUGCCGUGUCCCCGCGGCUGCGCCACGUUCUCCUGGAGCUGCUGCCACGCCUCCUGGGCUCCCCGCCGCCCCCCGAGGCCCCCCGGGCCGCCUCGCCCCCAAGGCGGGCGUCGUCGGUGGGCUUAUUGCUCCGCGCGGAGGAGUUGAUACUGAAAAAGCCACGGAGCGAGCUCGUGUUUGAGGGGCAGAGGCACCGGCACGGGACCUGGACGGCUGCCUUCUGCCAGAGCCUGGGCGCUGCCGCCCCUGAGGUCCGCUGCUGUGUGGAUGCUGUGAACUUCGUGGCCGAGAGCACGAGAGAUCAGGAGGCCACCGGCGAGGAAGUGUCCGACUGGGUGCGCAUGGGGAAUGUCCUUGACAACAUCUGCUUCUGGGCUGCUCUGGUGCUCUUCAGCGUGGGCUCCAGCCUCAUCUUCCUCGGGGCCUACUUCAACCGAGUGCCUGAUCUCCCCUACCCGCCGUGUGUCCAGCCUUAGUGCGCCCCGACUUCAAUUUCCCACCCCUCUCCAGUAGGAAAUUGAUUUUGAAAAAGUAGGCUGCCGCCACCACGGCCUUAUGAUCCCUUCCCCCUGCUGAUCAAUCUGCAUUUUGUGAACUUCACAAGAAGAAUGGUGUGUGCCCACUCCUUGGCGUGUAGGCCUGGCCGCAGUCCAGGGGUCAGCAGGAGGAAACGGUUCACACAGGCUCUCAGGUGCCAGUCUUCCAGAAAGCAAGGACUGCCCUUCAUUCAGCCUUGCUGACUUCUCAGGCUUUCUCAGGCCCAGCCCCACGGGACUCUGGUGGCUGCCAGCUUGUGAGCUAUCUAUAUUCAUAGCCAAACAGGAGACGCCUUUGCAGGACUUGGGAGGCUGGAGCCAGGAACCCGUCUUCUUCCCUGGUCUGGCUCUGCUGGAGCGGGUGGGAACUAAACACCUUCAGUGCUGUGGCCCUCAGGCCCACAGGUUUAGGGCUGGGGCUGCCCUGGCCCUUCCACAGUCAUUUCUUCCGGGCUUUCUUGGCCCAGCACUGCCCAUCCCACCCCAUGAAGCUCACUCAUUGCAGAUCCCAGCCCACCCUGUCCUCUUCCCCAGCCUGGAGGCUCUCUCUGCCUAGUAUACAGGACUGACAGCAAGAACACGCGGCCUGCGUGGUG
rnacentral:sRNA from 1 species